AUACGUAGGUGACAAGCGUUAUCCGGAUUUACUGGGCGUAAAGGGCGUGUAGGCGGUCUUGCAAGUCAGAAGUGAAAUUCCUGAGCUCAACUCGGGCGCUGCUUCUGAAACUGCAGGACUUGAGUGCUGGAGGGGAUAGCGGAAUUCCUAGUGGAGCGGUAAAAUGCGCAGAUAUUAGGAAGAACACCGGUGGCGAAGGCGGCUAUCUGGACAGUAACUGACGCUGAGGCGCGAAAGCGUGGGGAGCAAACAGGAUUAGAUACCCGGGUAGUCCACGCCGUAAACGAUGAAUACUAGGUGUAGGGGGUAUCGACUCCCGCUGUGCCGCAGUUAACACAAUAAGUAUUCCGCCUGGGGAGUACGGCCGCAAGGUUGAAACUUAAAGGAAUUGACGGGG
rnacentral:rRNA from 1 species